rnacentral:rRNA from 1 species
AAUGGGCGAAAGCCUGACGGAGCAACGCCGCGUGAGGGAUGAAGGCCUCUGGGCUGUAAACCUCUUUUAUCAAGGAAGAAGAUCUGACGGUACUUGAUGAAUAAGCCACGGCUAAUUCCGUGCCAGCAGCCGCGGUAAUACGGGAGUGGCAAGCGUUAUCCGGAAUUAUUGGGCGUAAAGCGUCCGCAGGCGGCCCUUCAAGUCUGCUGUUAAAAAGUGGAGCUCAACUCCAUCAUGGCAGUGGAAACUGUUGGGCUUGAGUGUGGUAGGGGCAGAGGGAAUUCCCGGUGUAGCGGUGAAAUGCGUAGAUAUCGGGAAGAACACCAGUGGCGAAGGCGCUCUGCUGGGCCAUCACUGACGCUCAUGGACGAAAGCCAGGGGAGCGAAAGGGAUU